CAAAAACAUAGCUCUCAGCCAAUAUGAAAAUAGAAGUAUGGGGGGUGAGGCCUGCCCAAUGGUUGUAUCUAAAAACGGUUGAUAAAAGUCAACUUUACAAGGACAAUUGAAUGGCCGCGGUAACACUGACCGUGAUAAUGUAGCGUAAUCAAUAGCCAAUUAAUUGUUGGCCAGUAUGAAUGGCGUCACGAAGGCCCCACUGUCUUAAGAGAAUUCCCAGUGAAAUUGAAUUCGUAGUGAAGAUGCUACGUCCAAUUUGUUAGACGAAAAGACCCCAUUGAGCUUUACUGGGCACUUACAUAGCUCGGAUCUACUCUCGACCCCCCCUUGUGGGGGGGGGGGGUUGGUUCUAUUUUAUAUGAAUUGCUUAGAUUAUGUGGUGUCAUAACCAUCGAUCAAGUAGUCCCUACGGGAUUGCCUCCCCCGAAGGUUUAUACCUUUUUGGGUGAAAUGAAACCCCACUCUUUUAUGUUAAAUGAGCUAACCCCUUAUCCCUUUAAAGGGGGACAAUGUAAGUAGGACAGUUUGGUUGGGGCGACCGCCUUUUAAAGAGUAACGAAGGUGUGCUUAAGGUGCACUAAUUUUAAUAUCAGUUGCCUGACUGCGAGGGGGACCCCCCGAGCAGACACCCCAAAGUCUUCUCUCUUCCCCCCGAAGGUUAAAGACGAAUGGUGGGCUAUAGUGACCCGUUAGUUUAGAGUGGAAUAGCUAACGAUCAACGAAUAAAAGUUACCAUGGGGAUAACAGCGUAAUAUCGUAGAGAGU
rnacentral:rRNA from 1 species